AGAAAUUUAGGCUAACAAAACCAAGAGCCUUCAAAGCCCUAAAUAAGAGUGACCACCCUCCUAAUUUCUG
rnacentral:tRNA from 1 species